rnacentral:rRNA from 1 species
CCCUUUGAUGUUCUGGGCCGCACGCGCGCUACACUGAUGCAUUCAACGAGCCUAUCCUUGACCGACAGGUCCGGGUAAUCUUUGAAUCUGCAUCGUGACGGGGAUAGAUUAUUGCAAUUAUUAAUCUUCAACGAGGAAUGCCUAGUAGGCGCAAGUCAUCAGCUUGCGUCGAUUACGUCCCUGCCCUUUGUACACACCGCCCGUCGCUCCUACCGAUUGGGUGUGCUGGUGAAAUGUUCGGAUCGGCCGUUUGUCGCGGUUUCCGCGUCAUGUGGCUGAGAAGUUCAUUAAACCCUCCCACCUAGAGGAAGGAGAAGUCGUAACA